AUGAUUCUGGAGUUCAGCCGGGAAGGACCAGCGGGAUGAAAACGCUUCUCUCCGCGUCGUCUGAGCCCUUGUGGCAUGUGGGAGGUUUUGUAAGAUAAAAACCUCUACCUUCGCCACACGUUGGGAGCCAUACGCCGCGGUCCGAAAGGGGGGAGGGGAACGGGGCCGCGACACAGCACGGGUCAGGGACACAAAGGUGGGAUGCAGGUAGAAUUGAUUUAUAGAAAU